rnacentral:rRNA from 1 species
AUUGAACGCUGGCGGCAGGCCUAACCCAUGCAAGUCGAACGAGUGGCGGACGGGUGAGUAAUGUCUGGGAAACUGCCUGAUGGAGGGGGAUAACUACUGGAACCGGUAGCUAAUACCGCAUACCAUCGGAUGUGCCCAGAUGGGAUUAGCUAGUUGGUGGGGUAAAGGCUCACCUAGGCGACGAGCCCUAGCUGGUCUGAGAGGAGGACCAGGCACACUGGAACUGAGAGACGGGCCAGACUCCUACGGGAGGCAGCAGUGGGGAAUAUUGCACAAUGGGCGCAAGCCUGAUGCAGCCAUGCCGCGUGUAUGAAGAAGGCCUUCGGGUUGGAAAGUACUUUCAGCGAGGAGGCGUUACCCGCAGAAGAAGCACCGGCUAACUCCGUGCCAGCAGCCGCGGUAAUUC